rnacentral:rRNA from 1 species
CGGUUGAUCCUGCCGGAGGUCACUGCUAUCAGAGUACGCCUAAGCCAUGCAAGUCUGCCCGGCGGCUUCGCCGGACGGCACACGGCUCAGUAACAAGUAUUCAAUCUGCCCUAAGGACGGGGGCAACCUCGGGAAACUGAGGUCAAUCCCCGAUAUCCCGCCUAUGCUGUAAUGCUUGGCGGGCAAAAGGCUCCGGAAAUUGCACCGGACGCGCCCUAGGAUGAGACUGCUCCUGAUUAGGUAGUUGGUGAGGUAACGGCUCACCAAGCCGAUAAUCAGUAGGGGCAAUGGGAGUUGGCGCCCCGAGAAGGGCACUGAGACAAGGGCCCUAGUCCUACGGGAUGCAGCAGGCGCGAAACCUUUACAAUGCGCGAAAGCGUGAUAAGGGAACUCUGAGUGGCAGCCGGCUUUUGCCGACUGUCUUUUGCCAACCUUAAACCGGUUGGAGAAUAAGUUCUGGGUAAGACCAGUGCCAGCCGCC